AAGAUUCCCAGGGAGAAGACAGACCUGGGACAAAUCCGUCUCUCACAGCCCUCAGAGGAACCAACCCUGCUUCAUCUUGGACUUGUAGCCUCUAGAAUUGUCCAUACCAGUUCGUACUUUGUUACAGCAUUUCUAGCAAACUAUGACACACAGAUUGUAAAUUGUUAUAUCUACUCUUUUUUCCUAUUUAAACUUUUUAUUUAAUGGAUGUGAAGAAAUUAUUUAAUAAAUGGAAAACUUCAAACAUACACCAGACUAGACAGAGGCUAUAAUGAAUUCCCAGGAACGAACGUACCUUUCACCCACCCAUUGACUCGGAUUGGGGCCAUCUUUUUUCAUAAUACCCCCAUCAGUUUCUCUACCCUCAUACUAUUCUGAACCAAAUUCCAGUCAUUGUUAAAUAGGUCACUAUCUCUGAGAGAUAAACACAACUUUUAAAAACAGAGCCCUUAUCACUUUCUCCUGGGAGAACUAGAUCAUGCUUCCCUAAUAUGGUCAAUUGUCAGUGUUCAGAUUUCCAAUCGUCUCAGUGUCAUAAUUUUUUUAAGGUUUUUGAAUCAUGAUUCAAAUUAACACCUGUACAUUGCAGUUGGUUGGUCUUUUAAAAUCUCUUAGUUCCUUCUCCAUCUCUCUUUCUCUCUCCUUGUAAUUCAUCAGGGUUUUCUCCUUGAGUGUUUUUCGUAGCCUAAAUUUUGCUGAUUAUGUUCUUGUUGUGAAAUUUAAUAUGUUCCGCUAUUCUCUUUAUUUCCUGUUAAUUGGUAUUUAGAUCUAGAGGCUUGGUCAGAUGCAGGUUUGAUAUUUUGUUACUAUUGGAUUGUUUGUUUUGGGUAGUACUGUGUAGUGGGUGGUGGUGUGUAUUUCCAUCUGGAGGCAGGUAAUGUCAGGUUGUCUGUCUUUUUGCAUUAUUAGCUGUCGAUACAAGUGUCCUGUCAUGAAAUAUUUUUCUUUUGGGUUUUUUUUUAAACAGCUAUUUAAGAAUGUAAGCACUAUUCUUAGCCAGCACGCCAUACCAAAACCAACAGUGGGCAGUCUUUCCCCACAGGCCGUUGUUUCCUGAGCCCUGUUCUAGGGUCUGUAUAUCUUGGACAUAAGAGGAAAUAUCUAUUUGGUCUUUGUCCCCUCCUCUGGCACGGAGCUCCUGAAACCCUUGGAAGUUCCUGAGUGAUGGGGUGACAGGAGCACCUCUUGUUAUUAAUAACAAGCGCCUUCCAACCACACCUGAAUUUAUGCUAUUGAAGUGACUCUUGGCCCCUAAGUACCUUCAGGAUGGGGGCCGGUGGCCAGAGGAACCAACCAUGUGAUUAAAGGGUUUGAAGUUUCAGUCUUACCCUUUACGACUUGAACCACUGGCUAACCAGAUAGUAAAUAUGGGGAAAUUUUCUUUGUAAACUGAUAUCAGUAUAUCAGCUGGUAACCAAAGAGGGAAUGACAAAGUUAGAAUAUCAGCGUUUUGCAAUCCCUCAUGGAUCUAGACAUUGAUCAUCAUUUCUUUUUAUCUGUGAACCUUUAAAAUUUUUAAUUUAAUCUGAAAAAGGAUUCACAGGUGACUCUUCAGUUAAUUACGCAUGUGCUCAAGUUUUAAUCAUGGUUCUAGGCAGGGAUUUAUAAUGGUUGAAUUAAUAAUCGGAUAGCAUUCCUCACUUACUCUGCGUCAUUACUGAGAAAUUGUGUUCCCCAGAUUACCUGUUGAUAAAACAGAUAAGAUGCACCUACCUCUCAGAGUUUCUUAGGUUUUCUGCUUAUUGAAUCAAGUGCUAGGUAUCUAUUAAAAUGGUUUGGAAACUAAAAUGAAAACUCAUAGACUGUACCUUGGAGAUACCAUGUGUUUUUGCAUCGGUGUCUUGGGGAGGUGUACGAAGUACCCCAAACCUCUAAUUAUCCUUGUUCUCAGUUUGUAAUCUGCGAGGCAGCCUCAGUGUGUGGAGAGACUCCUGUCAUUAUUGAUGUUUUUCUGUAGGCAAUGAUUGGUUUGACUUAACACGUCUCUGAAUGCUGCAGACUUGAGAGUGUCAAAAGAAAACUGUCUUUCUUCAUAGUUUCCGGCUGUCGCAAUCAGGAACCUUCCAGGGUCCUGGGUUGUAGUUUGACCACUGGGGCCACGGGGAUUUUAGUGUAGUUCCUCAGGUCUAGAAUUUACUUCCUCUCUGAGGUUUAUGCAAACCCAUCUCACCUUCCAGCCUAUAGGAGGCUGGUUUGAUUUCUUCAUUUUAUACAAGUUUUUCUUUAUUGUAUGGAAGUGUUCCUCUGUUGGUAUACAGUUUUUUUUUUUUUUUUAAAGCAUAGGACUUUGGGCUGAUCAAAAGAAAAAUACAGUAAAUAAAAUAGUUUCUAGGAAUGGUAAAACUGUAAAAAUGUCUACUAGAGGCUAUCUAGUAAAUAUCUCAGGUAGUGAUUUAGAAUCUUUUCAGUGGGCCUGGUAGACAUUGAGGUGGAGUAGACUUGUAUGCCUUGAGGAAAUCUGAGUCCAGGAGAGCAGAGGCCCCUGCAGUGUCUUAACAGAAAUAAAUAUGUUAUCAAGGUCAGGCAAAACUCCACAUAACUAGUUAUUUUUAACACGGGUAUGACUUUUCAUGCCUGCCUGAUGACUCACAGAAGACAGUUUUAUGGAUCAGAUAUUGCGCUGGCCCUCAGGCAGUUUUGAUCAAAUUUUAUGAUAGGGUGUAAUGAUAAAUUAUAGAUGAAAAGAGAGAAAAAAGUUGUUUACUAUUCAUCCUCUGGAGUUUGGAGAAGUAUGAACUGUCUUAAUUACAGUGAGAGGUUUCCUUCGAAGCACUUAGGCUGUUUUUAAAUGUUAAAAACAAUGAGGCAAAUCAAUGUGGUAUCAAGGGACUUGUACCCAGCACCCCUGAACCCAGAGUCUGGCCUAGACGCUUUCCCGCCUCGUGUCCUUAGGCACAUCGGUGUCCUCGUCUGUGACAUGGAGCUGGCAUUGUGACGAUCAAAUGAAAUAAUACUAUAUUUUAUCAAAUCUCAGACAUGACCGAUAAUGACACACCCUUAUUUUUGUGCCAUUAAGAAAGAAGAGGGGGCUUCCCUGGUGGUGCAGUGGUUGAGAGUCCGUCUGCCGAUGCAGGGGACACGGGUUCGUGCCCUGGUCCGGGAAGAUCCCACAUGCCGCGGAUCGUCUGGGCCCGUGAGCCGUGGCCGCUGAGCCUGCACAUCCGGAGCCUGUGCUCCGCCACGGGAGAGGCCACAACAGUGAGAGGCCCACGUACCAC
ensembl:lncRNA